ACGCCCGCUACAGAAACUACAAAGGAAGUUGACGGGGCCCGGCACAAGCGGUGGAGCAUGUGGCUUAAUUCGAAGCAACGCGAAGAACCUUACCAGGCCUUGACAUGCAGAGAACUUUCCAGAGAUGGAUUGGUGCCUUCGGGAACUCUGACACAGGUGCUGCAUGGCUGUCGUCAGCUCGCGUCGUGAGAUGUUGGGUUAAGUCCCGUAACGAGCGCAACCCUUGUCCUUAGUUACCAGCACGUUAUGGUGGGCACUCUAAGGAGACUGCCGGUGACAAACCGGAGGAAGGUGGGGAUGACGUCAAGUCAUCACGGCCCUUACGGCCUGGGCUACACACGUGCUACAAUGGUCGGUACAAAGGGUUGCCAAGCCGCGAGGUGGAGCUAAUCCCAUAAAACCGAUCGUAGUCCGGAUCGCAGUCUGCAACUCGACUGCGUGAAGUCGGAAUCGCUAGUAAUCGUGAAUCAGAAUGUCACGGUGAAUACGUUCCCGGGCCUU
rnacentral:rRNA from 1 species